rnacentral:rRNA from 1 species
CCUACGGGAGGCUGCAGUGGGGAAUAUUGGGCAAUGGGCGCAAGCCUGACCCAGCAACGCCGCGUGAAGGAAGAAGGCUCCCGGGUUGUAAACUUCUUUUAUCAGGGACGAAGCAAGUGACGGUACCUGAUGAAUAAGCCACGGCUAACUACGUGCCAGCAGCGGCGGUAAUACGUAGGUGGCAAGCGUUAUCCGGAUUUACUGGGUGUAAAGGGCGUGGAGGCGGGAAAGCAAGUCAGAUGUGAAACCCAUGGGCUCAACCUGUGGCGUGCAUUUGAAACUGUUAUGCUUGAGUGCUGGAGAGGCAGGCGGAAUUCCUAGUGUAGCGGUGAAAUGCGUAGAUAUUAGGAGGAACACCAGUGGCGAAGGCGGUCUGCUGGACAGCAACUGACGCUGAGGCGCGAAAGCGUGGGGAGCAAACAGGAUUAGAUACCCGAGUAGUC